CAGAUAUCGCCUUGCCAAGCCUUGGCUCACCUCCGCUCUCGCCUUGCUCCUUGUCAGUUUUCUAGCGCCGUCUCGGCUCCCCCCUCGUCAACGCACCCAAUGGCCUCCCUCUCGUGUCUCUGUAGAAGUUUUUGUUCUCAUGUUGAGAAAACAUGCUCUAGUGUGACAGUUCUUCUCUACGUCAUCCUGCAGUUCAUCGCGUUCCUGUUGGUGCUGGUGGCUACUCCGAUAGACAUGUUCCGCCUCAAGAAGCUAUAUCAGUACCCCCAUCCCAAUCCCUGCUAUACAUUGUGGGGUGCGAAGUUUGAUUGCAGCAGCAGCACGUACUCAGUUAAAUUGAGCAUGAUGUGGUCGCCGUGCCCUAGCCGCCGAAACCUUUUCCGCCUUGCACAGGUAUUCGCUGUCAUCUCCAUCUUCCUGUAUGGCGCGGCGUUCAUCUUGGGCCUCAUUGUGCUGCGCUGCUGUCCUUGGCUCCGCUGGGUCUGUCUGGUACUCAACAUUGCCGGCAUGGUCACCUUGUGCAUCGUCUGGGCGGCCAUGGUGGUGACCUACUACAAGGAUGUGCCUCAACGUUGCAUGCCUCUGCAUUUUUUCGUGAAUUACGGUGCCGGCUUCGGACUCUGCUUGGUGGCCUGGUGCUUGGACAUCAUCAACAUCGGCCUCUUGCUGCUCCCUCUCCGGGUUAGGGAUCCUGGUAAGAUCGGAAAGUCGGUGCCCUCUCCACGGCCCGGAGACGAGAAGUAAAGGAAGCGGCGGGCGCGCCUGGCGGCAGCGCAGCACACCCACCGUGACGCCCUCGUGGAAGAGCCGGCGGCGCUGAUCUCAGCGAGAGAGGGAGCGGAUGCUGCGGACUCUCAUCGCUGCCUGUUGCCGACUCAACUCUCUCGAUUCCUUCUGCGUGUGUGUGCAGCGCGCCACAGGCGCUCUCAAGCCGGUGCGCACGUGCACCCACACCCCGCCGCAGGCAUCCCGAGUAGCUGCUCUCACUCCCUUCGUCUUCGCGUCUCACUCCCGAUUUCCGCGCUGCUGUCAGCCCGUGUGCGCUUCCUCCGGGGUCUCCCCCACCACCACCUCUAAAUGCCAGUGCGGCGCAUGCAAGUUGCUGCUGGUGUGUUCGCCGCUGAUCAACACGCGGGAGAAUGUGCCAGUCGAUGAUGUAACGGCGUCUCUCGCGUGUGUGCCUCCUCCCACGCGCGUCUGUUCGGGGGGGGGGGGGGGGCUUUUCGGCUUCCUCGCAUGUUCUUCCCCCUUUUCACGUGCACAGCGACCUGCGCUGUGCAGUGGGCGACGCACGCCUGGCGCCGGCAGGCCCACCCAUGCCCUGUCGCCCCUCUGAGCUCCUCGCCCUCGCUGCCGUGUCGGAGUCGCCUGUCUGACGCUCGCCCGGCGCACCGCUGGCGAGGUGAGGGAGCGAGGGAAGACUCAGGACGCCGACGCGUGCGCUGGAGGCCUGGAAAUGGGUGCGGGAAGGAGGGAGCGAGGGGGGCGGAUGGCCGAGGUGGACAUGGAGGACAAACGCGGCGGUGUGAAGAAACGGACGUCCUCGCACGGAGGACGGGAGGCGCCACGCCACGCUGCAUCGGUCGCACGCCCCCCUCCACACCCCGCAGUCGCGAUGGCGCGUCUUUCUGGUGUCUUUCUCUCGCCCCUCUUUGGCUCCCGUCGCUGCCGCUCCCCCUCCUCACACAUGUCUCACGGACUGCCUGAGCGGCAAAGAGCGAGGAGGGAAGGGAGAUGAGGCACCAGGGGUGCGGUGGCGGCAGGGGCAGUAGCCAAAGAGACUAAUGGGCAGAUGCACCGGGGACAAAAGAGUUCGGCGUCAGCGCACACAGCAGCGGAACACAGAUGCAUAAGCAACGCUAAAGCGAGGCGACUGCAGCUUUUCUUCCUCUCCUUUCUUUGCGCCUCAUGCGCGCCUUACGUGUGUGCACGCGCAUACAGGUGCGCGCACCCUUGUGACCCUCCUCCGCCCUUCUUCCGGGGACACCUCGUCCACUUCGACUUUGGCUCGCCGCUGCCACUUUCCCGUGCCCCUGGCACGCACAUGAAGGGAAAGAGCACCACAAAGACACGAGGAGAAAAUGGAGCACAGCCCCUCCAGCCGUCCCUGUCAUCGCUGUGUCAUUUUCUGUCUUCGUCCUUUGUUUUCACAUGCCGCUCCGCGUUUCCGCGUCCCUUGACGUUCUUUUUUCGAGCUUUCUCGUUGACCUUUCGCUGUUACCCCACCCUGCCAGCAAACCUCGCAUGGGGCGUGUGCACAUGCGCGUGCGAGCGUGCGUGUGUGUGUGAGGGCUCUCUGCCCCUUUUUUCUUCAUUUGCGGCUGGCGGAGGAAGCGAAGAAGAAGCAGCGGCAGGGCAGAGACACACGCCGUGUGCAAGAGCAGCAGCGGUCCCGGCAUGCAAAGGAGGUGGAAGAAAGGACGAGCGGAUACGUCCGAAGCGGGAGGAGUCACUGCAGAAGCAACAAGAGGCGGCAGAGAGACUGGGCUGCUUCUCCCUUCUUUCUCGUCAUGUCUGCCUCGACUCUGCCGGUGCGUGUCCGUGUGCUCCUGUGCCAGCGCUCGUUGUGUUCUUUUCUCUCCGUCUCACUCAUGUUUUUUGCUUCCUGUGCAUCGGUGCCUUAUCACACCACCAAGUCCUCCAGGCCGGAGUGUGGAGAGUCUCCACAGCGUAUUACGGCAUGCGGGGGCUUGAAGCGACCGAGGGAGGGGCAUGGCGUGCAGGCGGAGGACAGGGUCUGAGAGGGCCCUGGCCUGCGGCUGGCCCACCUCCUCUCUCUGUGCUGGUCUGGCAUGCACCUAGCCCCCCCCCGUUACCCACACGGCUGACGUCGCCGCUUCCGCUCUCGAGGAGGAAGCCUGGCCGCGGCCCGCCUGGACCGAUGCAUGCCGCCCACCCGGGUCUGCGUCUGGCGCCGCUAGCGCCGCAGGUGCCCGAGGAAUGGACGAGCAAAGACAAGGCGGGCCGCUAGCGGCAUGGCUCGAUACCCCAGCAGACGACUUGUCUUCGCCGGCCCGGAUGUAGCCGUGGCGCAACAGAGGGGCGUGUGAGCUGUGCGCGAAUGCGUACAUGUGUCGACUUGUCCGUCGCGGAGUAAUAUUUUUAUAUUUAAAUACGUUGUUUUUUCUGGCAGGCACGCAAAGGAGGAGGUAAUCACAAAACGACACACAUAUACAUACAUAUAUAUAUAUAUAUCAUCAUCCAUGUUGGUGUGCACCGUCAAUCCAUCAAAACGCCCCGAACUUUGUUUUCCCCGCCGACCGUCGCCCCCCUUGUGCUCGCCCGAGCGGACGGAGCGCGUGCGCGUGCGUCCUUGUCUCCUCGUGCUUCUCCGUUGCUUGCUUUUUGCUUUCUGUCUUUAAUUAUUGUCUCCGUUUCUCGACUG
rnacentral:misc_RNA from 1 species